GACGUAGGGCGCAAGCGUUUGUCCGGAUUUAUUGGGCGUAAAGAGCUCGUAGGCGGCUCGUUGCGUCGGCUGUGAAAACCCGCAGCUUAACUGUGGGCCUGCAGCCGAUACGGGCGGGCUGGAGUUCGGUAGGGGAGACUGGAAUUCCUGGUGUAGCGGUGAAAUGCGCAGAUAUCAGGAGGAACACCGGUGGCGAAGGCGGGUCUCUGGGCCGAUACUGACGCUGAGGAGCGAAAGCGUGGGGAGCGAACAGG
rnacentral:rRNA from 1 species